AAAUGAAGCAACUCGGUUAUUCGUCUGCUUAGUAAUAUUUCUUUGAGAAAAUAACGAAGAAUACGCGAGAGGUUGUACAAAACUAUACCUAACGUGAGUCCGAAGUUGAUAUCUAAAUAAAAUCUAGCAUCUAAUAUGAAGUAUUAAUUUCUAUGCAUUGCAGUAUUUUGAAAACUACAAAUGAAAUUUUUCUUUUACAAUUUAUCACUUUAACGUUGCCCAUUUUUAUAUUGGAAAUCUACGGUGUUUUACCAAUGAGCAUUAAUGAUUAUAAACCCCUUUUUUUUUUGGUAACCUAAAAGCUUUUCUUAGUUAUUUUACACCAAAAAGUUGUUUUUAUAUUCCUUAAAACCGGUUCUAAUAUAAAAGUUGAAUUUCAUCAUUACAUACGUAACAAAAAAAAUUAAAAUUUCUGGCAACGAAAAGUUAAUGGAAUGAAUCAUGAAUCAAUUAGUAACAGCUAUAUGACUACAUAAAAAAUCUCAAAAUGAAUAAAAAUAAUUAAACGUAGACAGCAACAAAUUCAAAGUGAUGAAUAUUCAAAAGAUCUAAACGACGUUAAAACAAUUCUAAACUUCCAAGAAACAAGCCUAUUGGAAAAAUAUUACAAAUUAGAAAGGGCUAUAGUAAUGAGUUAAACAUUAUAAAUAAAAAAUAAACGAUCGAUUUAGAAUACAGAUUUCGACAAAUAAUCUGAAGUUAAAGAAAAAACCUAGGGAAAUCUGGAGUGAGCGAGACAUGAAGUGAAGUUGAAAAAAACCUUGUGAAAUCUGGAGUGAGCAAGACAUGGAGUGACUGCAGAAAUACAAUAAAAAGUAUUUUUAAAAUACAACUUAAAAAUGAAAGCGAAAUGAUUGUGGAAAGAGCUCAACCAUUCGAUCAUGCAGAAAAAAAAAAGUAUUGUAAACUGGCUAGAUCAAUAUAGCUCUGAAGCUCUUAAACUUAAACUUCUUAGUGUUAGGACAAGAACAUAAUUUUAAACACAGUGAAAAACCUGCGAGGAAUUAGUCUGUUUACUAAUGAAAGAAAAUCGAGAAUUACAAAAAGUUAUGAGAGGAGAAGUUAAAAGGCUAGGGCGGAAGGCAAGUAUGCUAUUACUUAAUACGAUUUUUAUUAUGAUUAUAAAUUUUCUGUAAUGAGUUUAUAAACCCCCUAUCUAUAACAAUAAAUUUUAAAAAGACUUUAUUAUAAAAAAAAAA